rnacentral:lncRNA from 1 species
GGCCUGUGAAUUAGUAUUUUUCUAUUGGUUUAGAUCCUUCAUAUUUGUUUUUAGUAAAUUAACACGUAAGUUUUUUUGUUUGAAUUGCUCCACAUGUUUCCUAUCGGGGCCUUUUAUAGCUUUCUGCAUGUAUAUGGUACAGAUAUUUCUCAUUAUUGACGACCAUAUGGUGGCCUAUAGUUAUUAAUACAUUUUCCUCCUUUGAACUCUUUUGGAUAGCAUUGGUUCUUUGCAAAAAAUACCACAUCCCUUUUUAUAAAUAAGACAGUUACAGUAACUUAAAUCAAUUACAAAUGUAAUGAAAGUGAAUUUAUA